GUCUUGGGAUUUAUCUUGGCCCCUUGCGUUCUGUUUUACGAAGAAGCUUACGCGAAUCCUAAUACGGAUCAAAAAAAAAAAAAACUAUUCUUCCUCUUCGAUGCGGCGGUGAUGAGGGACUUUCGCGUUUCUUCGUUCGAUCUGAAACGGUUCUAUUAAUGGCUGCGUGGUAAAUCAAAUUGAUUGUCCCCUUCACGAUCCAUCUUCAAUGGUUUGCGAAAGGCGGUCUCUAAACAGUAUAAAUAGAUGCUUGCCGCUGUUCUUCAACCGUCAAGGUCUCUGAUUUUGGGAAGCGAGCGCGGGUGGAGAGCUGACGGUGUGGACAUGCUCCUGCUAAGGUGACUCUGUUCUUAAACUUCAUGAUCAUCUUAGUUUAAAACUAACGCAGACGUUUAUACUCAUAACAGACAGACUUUUGUUUCCAAAUCUUUAACGAGCCUAUUACAGAUAUAAUUAUGAAUCCGUUUGUCGAUUAAGUUUCUUUUCUUAUAUGUGUUUGAUCAUCUUAGUUUAAAACUAAAGCUGUCGUCUAGGAGGAGCAUGAUCUUCGUGGUUUGAAAACAGCGUUCAAUCUCAGAGUUUUCAGAAUUUUAUAUUGAAAUUUUAUUUUUACUCUUUGGGAGACAAUUUAGUCUCAUAUAUAUUCAGACUUCUCUCUCAAAUUGCUUGAACUUAUGAUCAUGAGAGCUUACGUUUGUUGUUUGCUGCCAUUCAUGUGGUACAGUUGGUUCUUCAGUCAUGGAGAGUUAAUAGCAACUGUUUAUGAAAUUAAAAUGCCAAAAAAAUGUAAGAAAUUAAAGGUGCCAAUCCUCCACUCCAAUGUUUUAGUGAUUAUCUUCAGGCCAGGUUCUGUUUUCUUAAAUGAUUGUCUUUAAAGUGUUUUACUUUCGUUAUGCAGGAUGAAAAAAAAUGUAGAACCGGCAGUAUGUGAGUCAUUCUGUUCAUAGCAACGUCGCAGUCUUGCCAAAGUCAUCUUCUCUCUUGACAAGCAUUGUUGGCAAUUGAGUGGCUAGGAGAUAGAGGAAGUGAUGGUAUGAAGGGCUACUUGAGUCCGUGUCCAGGGGAAACUCACCCGCUUAUAUUCAGGUCUCCAGCGAAGGGUAUGGAGGGCAUCUUGACCAACCAACUCAUGUGAGAACACGGACCUAGAUCAGAGGGUUCUUCUAACUCUUAACGCCUCAGCUUCCAAAUCUUUUUCGGUCUCACUCGCUCUUCUUCUUCUCCUACGAUUAGCUGUGCUUCCGUUUCAACUUCCCUCUUGAGAUCCUCUCCAUAUGUAUGCUGAUUGAGUUUUCCAAUCUUCACAGCAUUUGUUUUAACUGCGUAUGUGAAAUUCUUGCGGUUUUUAAGUCAAUGAAAAGAUCAUCCUGAUGCUCUGUUAUACUUUAAUGUUUAUAUUUAAUUUUUGCUGCAUUA